GGCUCAGGACGAACGCUGGCGGCGUGCCUAAUACAUGCAAGUCGAACGCGUCUCCGUUAAUGAUUUUAGGUGCUUGCACUUGAAAGAUUUAACAUUGAGACGAGUGGCGAACUGGUGAGUAACACGUGGGUAACCUGCCCUUGAAGUAGGGGAUAACACUUGGAAACAGGUGCUAAUACCGUAUAACAACCAAAACCACCUGGUUUUGGUUUAAAAGACGGCUUCGGCUGUCACUUUAGGAUGGACCCGCGGCGUAUUAGCUUGUUGGUAAGGUAACGGCUUACCAAGGCGAUGAUACGUAGCCGACCUGAGAGGGUAAUCGGCCACAUUGGGACUGAGACACGGCCCAAACUCCUACGGGAGGCAGCAGUAGGGAAUCUUCCACAAUGGACGAAAGUCUGAUGGAGCAACGCCGCGUGAGUGAUGAAGGGUUUCGGCUCGUAAAACUCUGUUGUUGGAGAAGAACAGGUGUCAGAGUAACUGUUGACAUCUUGACGGUAUCCAACCAGAAAGCCACGGCUAACUACGUGCCAGCAGCCGCGGUAAUACGUAGGUGGCAAGCGUUGUCCGGAUUUAUUGGGCGUAAAGCGAGCGCAGGCGGUUUUUUAGGUCUGAUGUGAAAGCCUUCGGCUUAACCGGAGAAGUGCAUCGGAAACCGGGAGACUUGAGUGCAGAAGAGGACAGUGGAACUCCAUGUGUAGCGGUGAAAU
rnacentral:rRNA from 1 species